rnacentral:rRNA from 1 species
UGGGGAAUUUUGCGCAAUGGGCUAACGCCUGACGCAGCAACGCCGCGUGGAGGAUGAAGGUCUUUGGAUUGUAAACUCCUGUCAGCAGGGAAAAAGCGAGUCGACCUAAUACGUCGGUGAGUUGAUUGUACCUGCAGAGGAAGCCCCGGCUAACUCUGUGCCAGCAGCCGCGGUAAGACAGAGGUGCCAAGCGUUAGGCGGAAUCACUGGGCUUAAAGCGUGUGUAGGCGGAUCGUUAAGUACCUUGUGAAAUCCCACGGCUCAACCGUGGAACUGCUCGGUAUACUGGCGAUCUUGAGCCACCUAGGGGCAACUGGAACAAGCGGUGGAGCGGUGAAAUGCGUAGAUAUCGCUUGGAACGCCAACGGUGAAAACAGGUUGCUGGGGGUGUGCUGACGCUGAGACACGAAAGCCAGGGGAGCGAA